rnacentral:lncRNA from 1 species
UAUACGGUCCCACUAGGGGAAAUGCUUUGCUGGACUUCAUUCUAGCUACAGAGGGGAUCUGCAGUUACAAUGUAACCUAGGGGUAGUGACCAUCAAUUGAUUGAAUUCACUAUCCAGUGUGGGGUGGGAAAAGUAACAAGCAGGGCAGAAGUGCUAGACUUCAGAAAGGCUAACUUCAAUGUGCUCAGGAGAUUAGUUAGUGAGGCAUUGAAAAUCAAGAGCAUUGGCAAGAUGGGAGUCCAGGAAGGGUGGUUGUUCCUCAAGGGAGCAAUCCUUUGGGCGCAGAAGGAAACAAUCCCAUUGUGUGUUUCUGAACAUGGAUCAAGACAAAUCUCCCAACUGCAUUAUAGAUAGGCACAGGAGGAACACCAGCCCACCAACGUUCAGCACUGACCUAGUAAAGGGACACUUGGAGGGGCUGAAUGUGUUUAAAUCAGCAGGCCCGGAUGAUCUUCAUCCAAGGGUGCUGAAGGAAUCGGCCAGUGUCAUAGCAGAGGCACUGGCAGGGCUGUCUGAGCACUCUUGGUGCUCAGGUCAGGUCCCAGAGGACUGGAAAAGGGCCAGUGUAGUCCUUAUUUUCAAGAAGGGGAGGAAGGAGGAUCUAGGUAAUUAUAGGCCAGUUAGUCUCACCUCUAUCCUAGGGAAAACUGAUGGAAAAAUUACCAAGGAUUACAUUUGUGGGAGCCCAGCAGGAAAAAUAAUGCUGAAGGGCAACCAGCAUGGGUUCAUAGCAGGUAGAUCCUGCCUGACUAACUUUGUUACCUUUUAUGACCAGGUCACAAAAUGCUUAGAUGCAGGAGUCGAGGUACAUGUCAUCUACUUGGAUUUUAUGAAGGCCUUCAAUACUGUAUCUCAUCCUUUUCUCAUAAACAAACUGAGUAGCUGUGACACAGAUGAUUACAUGGUUAGGUGGGUGGCAAAUUGGCUUAAGGGUUGCACCCAGAGAGCGCUGAUGGACAGGUCAGUAUCAGCUUGGAAAGAUGUGGGCACUGGAGUCCUGCAAGGCUCAGCCCUUGGACCUGUGCUAUUCAAUGUUUUCAUUAGUGACUUGAAUGAGGGCAUGGAGAGCACUCUGUCCAAAUUCACGGAUGACACAAAAUUAUGGGGUAAAGUAAACAUACUAGUGGGAAGGAAUUGAAUCCAGGUGGACCUGGACAGGUUAGAAAAGUG